AUUGAACGCUGGCGGCAGGCCUAACACAUGCAAGUCGAACGGUAGCACAGAGAGCUUGCUCUCGGGUGACGAGUGGCGGACGGGUGAGUAAUGUCUGGGAAACUGCCCGAUGGAGGGGGAUAACUACUGGAAACGGUAGCUAAUACCGCAUAACGUCUUCGGACCAAAGUGGGGGACCUUCGGGCCUCACACCAUCGGAUGUGCCCAGAUGGGAUUAGCUAGUAGGUGGGGUAAUGGCUCACCUAGGCGACGAUCCCUAGCUGGUCUGAGAGGAUGGCCAGCCACACUGGAACUGAGACACGGUCCAGACUCCUACGGGAGGCAGCAGUGGGGAAUAUUGCACAAUGGGCGCAAGCCUGAUGCAGCCAUGCCGCGUGUAUGAAGAAGGCCUUCGGGUUGUAAAGUACUUUCAGCGGGGAGGAAGGCGAUGAGGUUAAUAACCGCAUCGAUUGACGUUACCCGCAGAAGAAGCACCGGCUAACUCCGUG
rnacentral:rRNA from 1 species